AGAUAACCCGGUCUUUUUUUCUCACAUAAUCAACCCGGUCUUCUCCUCUUAUCAAUCUUUCUAAAUCGUAUGGCCAAAUUCCCUUUUCUCUUGCCCUAGAUUCUAGCCCUUUCUCUCACUUCACCGAUUUAGGAUAUUGAUUUCAGAAAUUUCCUCACAUUUUAUUUCCUUCCUUUUUCAAUGGACUCCGAGGAUGAUAUGCACGAUGACAACUACGUGGAGUCGCUCAACAGUGACGAUAUAUACAGCGGUAACAUCGAUGGUGCUGCCAUGGAUUAUUAAAGCGAUUAUGAUGAUGACUCCGGUGAUUAAUUCAACGAUGCCAGUGAAAUUGAGUCUCGUCGACCUGAGCAGAAUUUUACCAUCUUGAAGGAUUCCGAUAUCCAUGUAAGACAAGAAGAUGACAUCAGUAGAGUUGCAACUGUUUAUUCGAUAUCAAGAGUUUUUGCAAGCAUACUACUUUGUCACUACAAUUGGCACCAUGGUGAUUACAAAGGCAAGGAUUACAGGAGACGUGGCAGCAGGAGUUAUGAUAGGUAUGAAUGUGACAGGUACCUUGGCGGAAGAGGCAGGGACUAUCAUUGUCGAAGUAAUGAAAUAGUGCGGUAUAGACCCCAUGAAAUUAGUCAUUGAGUGGAAGUCGAAGUAGAUUGAAUUCGGCGUCAGUUGGGUCAAAGUAACAUUAUGCAACUUUCAGAUCUUUGAGUAUCUAGAAAAUCGGGUAUAAAGAAAGUCGAACUGCGAUGUAACUGACAAUGCAGGAUGAAUAUGAGUUGGCAUAAGAGCUGGAUGUUUGUUAGAACGGGAAAGUACACUCUUUAUGCAUGAGAAUAUGAAGGACCUGCAAACAAGCAACCUUGAAUUUGAAUUAAAAUUUUGUAGAUCCUGAUCAGAUUUCGGCAGCAUUGGAGGUUCUGCAGAGCGGGUGCUGUAAACUGGAGUUGCAAUUUCUUGGUGUAGUUUAUGCAGAGUUGGUAAUGCAAAUAUUUGUAGUGGAGUUGAUCUAAUCAACUAUCAAUCAAAAACAACUUCAUGAGCUGUUAACUGUGCUAGCUUAGAUAGUUCUGUUUGUUGGCAGGGUUGUGGCGGUUUAUGAUUAAUCAGUCCUUCAAUUGUUUGGAAGUGCAGAGGCAGUGUCAGUUUCCUUAAGAGUUUUGAUAUUUGGUUUGUGGUGUGAGAAUUUGAUCCUGCAUGAAUUAGGUGUCAAAGAGUUUAUGGUUUUUUGGUGUGAGAAUCAGAGUUUAGUGUUAUUGAAAAGGAGUGUAGCUUCUGAAGUCCUAUGUUGAUGCGGAUGCUGGUGUAGGUUUUGCAGGCUCGUGCAGGGUCUUAGUUUUAUUGCAAGUGAAGUUUUUAGGCUCAAAUCUAUUCGUUUGUAUUAGUUUGAGGCGUUUGCUUGGUUGUCUUUGUAGUAUUGUUCCCUUCAAUUCGAUGUUGCGUUGGAUCUUAGCUCUGCCAGUGUUCCAUUGUGCCGGUCUUUUUCUUGGUGGCAGCUCCAUAAUUUCAAGUGCGUAGUAUCAUUUGUUUUGUAGUUUUAGGGUGAUUUAGUCCUGGUAUACUUGUAGAUGUUGGUGCAGGCAGAUGGUUUUUAGACUGGUUCGGGUGUUUUAGCGGUAGUGUGGCCUGGUGUGCUUUAUCCUUAUAUUACAGCAGCACUUCUUGUGUUGUUCAUUUUUAGUACAAUUUUAGUUUUUCCAAAUUUUUUAUUUUUUAGAGUUGUUUAUUAUACUUCGUUGUCGAUACACCUGCGUAUACUAAUAGACUUUUGUAUGAUUGCUCCUUGCUUAUUUUUAUCCAGUUUGAUAUGCUUAGUUAAUGCUCUCACCUCGUGAUGUCUAGAUAUAUCACUGCAUGUGAAACCUCAAAGACAGGCUUGGAGUUUUUUGCCAAUGUAAUUCUUAAUGAUAUAUUUUUCAUAUUCAUUUAUUUUCUACUGAAAUUCAUUUAUUUAUUUUAAUUUUUUA